GAAUCCAAACCUGCCUCCGCCGCCUCGCCAGCGUCACCUCGAAUCCAAACCUGCCUCCGCCGCCUCGCGGUUGGCCACCUCGCUUCCUACCAUGUCGUUGCGCUCCGAUCCGAAAAUGUCGUGAUGGUUUUGCGUUUUUGUUGUUCUUUGUUGGUGAUCUGAUGAUGGGGGCAGCGGUGUCUUCGCCAUUCCUGACAAGGAAGAUCGUGAAGAAGCGCGUCAAACAGUUCAGCAUCGACGUGCUGCAGUGGACGGCAAGCGGAUAUCCGUCACAUCGGUUCUGAUGUACGCGAUGCGCGCUCUACACAAGAUCAGAAGGUCAAAGGUACUCUGACCAUCCUCUCAGUUUGUAGUCUCGAAUCCUGCUCAGAGCUUAGCUGCACUCCGUUCAACCCUAAUCCCUCCCAACCUAGGCCUUGUUUGAAUGCAAUCUACUUGUUUGAGUGGAUUAGGUUGGAUUUUAGUUAGGGUGGAAAUUAAACUAAAUUCCACCCCAUCCAAAAGAGGGCUCAUGUGGAUAGCUCAGCCAAACAACCCGCCCUCGAAGGGUUCACUGUCUUGUAUUGGACAGGUUACAAUCUGUACACUGACAUAGUCCUGGUUUUCAUAUCUUAGUUCUGAAAUGAAACCCGUGGCCUUAGUUGCAAACGGUAUCAAUGUGAAUCUUGCUUUCUAUUGCCAUGUGUCGCUUGAGUAACUUUAUUGUGCCUUUAACCUUGUUGAGUAAUUCCUUAUGUUGUGAAAUCUGAAAUGUGAAGACGGUGUUUCUUAAACUGGUGGUCACUGUUUGACAGCAAUGCUCUCCUCCUGGUUGGUCAAUCCUGUUUUAUUGCUGUUACUUUUUCUGUUUGAGUAGAGACAAUAAUUCUGAACUAUGUUCCCAUGUGGCAAUAAAAGUAAAAUGAAGAGAAAGACAAAAUAAUGUGCAGUUAAAUUUUCUCACGGCACCUAGUGCUUUCAUGAGCCUUGAUGGAGAAGAGUUACGAAUUUUUAGUUGUAUUUAUUCAGUUGUUUUUUUCUUUUUAUAUAUUGUUGUUCUGAAAGAAAGGAUAUGAUGGCUUUGUAAAAGGUCUGAGUUAGAAAAUAUGUUUCUUAAGCAAACAUGGGUAUAAAGGAAGACGGCCCUAGCCCUUUCUUAAGUAUAGCAUUGUGGCUCUAGCAACCUCUUCUACAGUAAUUGCUUCAUGGCAUCAUGAAGUGGGUUGGAUUAAAAGGCGUGGGCUUCAUUCGGAGCAUGAAUGUUUGCCUAGACUUCUCCCAACAUUCUUAACCCAAUGUUUUCUUAAGAAAACCAUUUUCUGCAUGAUCUCAUCAUUAUUGCUGAUCCUUUCAUGAAACAACUUAUUUCACUCUCAAAGCAACUUUGUCGAGGUGUUGUUUUUAGUGCAACUUUGCUGCAGUAGAUUCCGCUUUUUACUCUCGAUGAAAGGUUUCCUAUAUGGCUGAUCGAAUUUUGCUUAUCCUUGCUGAUCAAUACUACUGCAGUAGAUUCCUCUUAUUGUUUCCAUUAAAAUUUCACCCAUUAACUUUACCUUUUAGCUUUUAAUGGUAAUAUAUUUGUUGGCAUUCUCUUGUGUCCAAAGAGAUUCUUCCUCAGUGCCUUCAUCCUGUGCAGUACACUAUUUUUCAAAUGUUUACAGUAGAAUGUAUGGCUGCAUGUAGUGAUAGCUUAGUUUUGCAUGGUGUUGAAUCUUUUGUGAUCAUGCACGCAUAGACCAAAAUAUUUGACUUCAAAGCUUGGACCAAGCUAAUAUGACCUGUAAAAAAGAAAGGAGGGAUGAGUACAGAGUAUUAUGUGAUGAAAUUGUGCAAGGACAUAGCGGAGCGUGCUCCAAAGCUUGACAUUGUGGUCACAAACAAGCUUGCUAGGCUUCACGGCGACGACUAAUGUGCAAUCAGGCCCUAUGUGCAAGCGUGCAAGUGAGCAUUCUGGUCCUUUAGAUCAUGAAUCAUGAUCUAACUAGCCAAGAAGAUUAGAUGACUAUAUGAUGUAGUAAAGAUUGCAAGUUUGGUUAAUUUGUCUGUAGGAAACUGCCCUGAUUGAAGAUUUCCUUUUCCC
rnacentral:lncRNA from 7 species